AACGAACGCUGGCGGCAUGCCUAACACAUGCAAGUCGAACGAGACCUUCGGGUCUAGUGGCGCACGGGUGCGUAACGCGUGGGAACCUGCCCUUAGGUUCGGGAUAACUCCCCGAAAGGGGUGCUAAUACCGGAUAAUGUCUUCGGACCAAAGAUUUAUCGCCUUUGGAUGGGCCCGCGUUGGAUUAGCUAGUUGGUAGGGUAAAAGCCUACCAAGGCGACGAUCCAUAGCUGGUCUGAGAGGAUGAUCAGCCACACUGGGACUGAGACACGGCCCAGACUCCUACGGGAGGCAGCAGGGGGGAAUAUUGGACAAUGGGCGAAAGCCUGAUCCAGCAAUGCCGCGUGAGUGAUGAAGGCCUUAGGGUUGUAAAGCUCUUUACCCGGGAUGAUAAUGACAGUACCGGGAGAAUAAGCUCCGGCUAACUCCGUG
rnacentral:rRNA from 1 species